AGAUUGAACGCUAGCGGGAUGCUUUACACAUGCAAGUCGAACGGCAGCGCGGACUUCGGUCUGGCGGCGAGUGGCGAACGGGGUGAGUAAUAUAUCGGAACGUGCCCAGUAGCGGGGGGAUAACUACGCGAAAGCGUGGCUAAUACCGCAUACGCCCUACGGGGGAAAGGGGGGGAUUCUUCGGAACCUCUCACUAUUGGAGCGACCGAUAUCAGAUUAGCUAGUUGGUGAGGUAAAGGCUCACCAAGGCGACGAUCUGUAGCUGGUUUGAGAGGACGACCAGCCACACUGGGACUGAGACACGGCCCAGACUACCGUACGGGAGCGAGCAGGUGGGGUAAUUUGGGACUAAGUACGGGGGUAAACCUGACUCC
rnacentral:rRNA from 1 species